rnacentral:rRNA from 1 species
CAUAACCCCGGGAAACUGGGGAUAAUACCGGAUAACGCAUAUGUGCUGGAAUGCUUUAUGCGUAAAACGGAUUCGUCCGCCCAAGGAUGGGUCUGCGGCCUAUCAGGUAGUAGUGGGUGUAAUGUACCUACUAGCCAACAACGGGUACGGGUUGUGAGAGCAAGAGCCCGGAGAUGGAUUCUGAGACAUGAAUCCAGGCCCUACGGGGCGCAGCAGGCGCGAAAACUUUACAAUGCGGGAAACCGUGAUAAGGGAACACCGAGUGCCAGCAUCAUAUGCUGGCUGUCCAGAUGUGUAAAGUACAUCUGUUAGCAAGGGCCGGGCAAGACCGGUGCCAGCCGCCGCGGUAACACCGGCGGCCCGAGUGGUGACCGUUAUUAUUGGGUCUAAAGGGUCCGUAGCCGGUUUGGUCAGUCCUCCGGGAAAUCUGAUAGCUUAACUGUUAGGCUUUCGGGUGAUACUGCCAGGCUUGGAACCGGUAGAGGUAAGAGGUACUACAGGGGUAGGAGUGAAAUCUUGUAAUCCCUGUGAGACCACCUGGGGCGAAAGCGUCUUACCAAAACCGGUUUCACGGUGAAGUAUUAAACCUCGGGGCACAAACCCGUUUUGAUACCCGGGUUUCCCCACCGGGGACUAUGCGCGCUAAAUGUGAUGCCUCUGCCCGCCCGUGUGUCGUGUCACACGGGAACCGUUUAAAGCGGGGCCUGUUGCCAACAAAGGCCAAAGUGUUAAUUUAAAAAGUUUCCGGGGGGAGAAGCCCACAGCGUGUAGGAGCCUUGUUUAUUAAUAUAAAAUCAACGCAGAACUCUCCCCCGGGGAUAUAAAACUAGAGUGGGGGGCCAGGCUAUAAUAGCCUGGCUUUGUAUCAAAUAAAAUGAAGUUGUAAU